ACUCCUACGGGAGGCAGCAGUGGGGAAUAUUGCACAAUGGGCGCAAGCCUGAUGCAGCCAUGCCGCGUGUAUGAAGAAGGCCUUCGGGUUGUAAAGUACUUUCAGCAGUGAGGAAGGUGGGUAUGUUAAUAGCAUACUCAUUUGACGUUAGCUGCAGAAGAAGCACCGGCUAACUCCGUGCCAGCAGCCGCGGUAAUACGGAGGGUGCGAGCGUUAAUCGGAAUUACUGGGCGUAAAGCGCAUGCAGGUGGUUUGUUAAGUCAGAUGUAAAAGCCCGGGGCUCAACCUCGGAAUUGCAUUUGAAACUGGCAAACUAGAGUACUGUAGAGGGGGGUAGAAGUUUCAGGUGUAGCGGUGAAAUGCGUAGAGAUCUGAAGGAAUACCGGUGGCGAAGGCGGCCCCCCUGGGAACAGAGUACUGAACACUCAGAUGCGAAAGCGUGGGGAGCAAACAGGAUUAGAUACCCUGGUAGCGUCU
rnacentral:rRNA from 1 species